GACGAGACCAAAACCUAACGAAAACUGCUAUCAUGAUUAAUUGAAAUGAGUUGUUAUUCUUUUCUUCUUUUCUCCGGUUUAGCCUGAAAAAACAAUUCAUCUAUACCGCGAAUUUUUGUUUGGUCACACCCGCGGUGUCGUACAGUUCGCGAGAAGCUCUUCUUUUAGUCGCGGUUUCUUAGUACGACGAGAACCGAAAAUAAAACGCUGAAAGCGAACGGCUAUUUAUAAAACUCUUGGGAAAAUCGAAUUAACACUCUUUGAAGUGACAUUUUAGACAUUUCAGAAUCGCCUACGCGCACCGUUCACACGGGGUUAUUUCUCUUCUAAAUCGUAUAUAUCCUCCGUCCUUGCCGUGUGAUUUUUUUUAUCCACUUUCACCGUUUUGCAUGAUAUUAUUUUCAAAGACCGUUGUUCGUUUCGCCGCCUCCCCCCCCAACACGCUCGAACCGUACGUUUCUACGUUUCCCGAUAAGCGGGUUAUUUCUCACAUUACGACCUAGUUUUACAACUUAAAUAUACAAAAGCGCGGGACGAUGUACAUAUGGUACUAUUAGGGACGGACCUUCAAAUGUUUUGACGCUCUUUUAUGUUCCUUAAUGCGUUUCAUGAAGGAUCUACCUGUUUGUCCAAUAUACAACAGUUCAGUGAAAACUUGUCGUUUAAUUGUUUACCUUUUAUAUCAAAUAUUUUGGUUACAAAAUGCCACGGAUUUGUAAAAAUUCCUCAGAUUGUUUUCGCUACAUUUGUGGGGAAUACAUACUAAAAACACAGCGACAUGUCAUGACCGAUCUGGUUAAAACUGCUUAUAAGCUAUAUUUUUUACUGUAAAACUCAAGCCGCCACAUUUUUUUAUUUCCUUAUAAUACUUUAAUAAUAUAGUUUUUUGAUGAAAUAAAUAUUAAAUUAAAAAUUUACGUGUAGUACUUAUUUGUAUAUCAGAUUCCGUGUUUAGAGCAUAAAAUAAGAUGAAUUCAUGCAUGAAAACAAG